UACGUAGGUGGCAAGUGUUAUCCGGAAUUAUUGGGCGUAAAGCGCUCGCAGGCGGUUUCUUAAGUCUGAUGUGAAAGCCCACGGCUCAACCGUGGAGGGUCAUUGGAAACUGGGAGACUUGAGUGCAGAAGAGGAGAGUGGAAUUCCACGUGUAGCGGUGAAAUGCGUAGAGAUGUGGAGGAACACCAGUGGCGAAGGCGACUCUCUGGUCUGUAACUGACGCUGUGGAGCGAAAGCGUGGGGAGCAAACAGGAUUAGAUACCCUGGUAGUCCACGCCGUAAACGAUGAGUGCUAAGUGUUAGGGGGUUUCCGCCCUUUAGUGCUGAAGUUAGCGCAUUAAGCACUCCGCCUGGGGAGUACGGUCGCAAGACUGAA
rnacentral:rRNA from 1 species